ACGAAUGCAAAUAAGUUAGAAAUUGUGCUACUAAUGCACACGACGGCACAAACACGUCUCGUAAAAACUACAUACGUUUUUGUUUGGUUAUCUUUUGGAAAUUGUAGAAAUAAAACAUUUUCCUUCAGAAGUUAGUUAGCUAAUUUAUUUGCUAGCUAUCAUACAGUAGGCGUAUAUUAAUAAUUAUAUAUUUAAUAUAAGUAGACAUGCACUCAUAAUUGACUGUAGCGCAUAUAAAGCACCCACAAGAUACAGGUGGCUGAAAAUACAAUCAUUGCGGGAUGAACAAGUGACGAAUUUCAGGCAAAGGGUGGUCCAUUUAAAAAUCAUUCCCUUCUCUCUCGCCCCUCGCCCUGCAAGUGUAUACUCGUCAGACGUCAUGAUGCGUCAUCAGAAGUGUCCACUUAAUUUGAGGGCUGAGGGGGUAGGGUGUGUCUUUUAAGUGUUUGGACUGCAGGCAUCGUGCUAUCUGUGCUAUAGCUAUCACACUUCACAUUGGAUUCCUUAACUGCAAAAAGUUGAGAUGACAUGGUGCCAUGGAGAAACAGCAGUGCCUUGAACUUGUACCAUCAGCAAAAACACCAGACAGGCCAAGGAAACGCCCCAGAACUGACAUAAAUCAAGAUCAUAUUGACGUUGGAGAGAAGAAUCUACUGCAGAUUGAGGUCCUGAAUUUACAAAAGAGAUGCUGCAAAUUCAGAAACAAAAACUCCUUCAGGGAAACAAAUGCCCAAUGCUGAUCUUUUUAUUUAUUUAAACAAUGAUUUAUUAAAACAAUCCUUUCCCAAGCAAUUUGCUGUCCUCUAGUCUUGUCCCCACUCUUGUGUUCUGGUGCUUCCAGUUCCACCCUGUAAGGUAGUGAGAAUAACAAGUCUUAAUAAUACAGAUAGACACGUACAAUUCCUAAUUAGACUAUGAAAAUAUAAUAUUGCUUUUUACAUGUUACCAAUGCUACAUUAUACACCUUAGGCUGCAAAAUGGUUCUCAAUCAAGGUUUUCCUCACAGCAUUCUAUUUGCAUUGUUGCACCUGGCCAUCUUCUCCAUUCUCCUCAGGUAGGUCCUCCUCAGUCUCCUGCCAAAGCUAUACAGAACAGCCACUGCAAUAAUGAUUGUCAUUGUAGUGUCCAUCUUCAUGCGGAGGCCCUCCUGUAGGCACGGGAAUCCAUUUUUCCACACUCCAAAAGCUUUCUGAGACCUCUUGCCAGGAUGUUAAAGGUGUUGUAUUCUCUCUCUCCAGGUGUCUGGGGGUUUAAAAGGGGAGUGCUAAGGUGCCCACGGUAGCCAUGUCCAUUGUCACGUAGUAGGUGGCCUUCAUAUGCCCCCCUUUCCAGCAUUGCACACAGAUGACUAUUGUCAAAGAUUCUGCUGUCAUUGGUGGAUCCUGGCCAUCUAGCUACGAUGUUGGAGAGCUGACCUUUGUCAUCACAGACAGCCUGCAUGUUGAUGGAGCAGUAACCUUUCAGAAUACGGAAUAGUUCUCCUUUCUCGCCACCAGGGUUGGGAAUAGGAAUGUACGUAAAGUCUAUUGCCCCUAGUACAUCUGGGAAUCUAGCUCUCUUGUAAAACCCAGCUGCUGUUUCCUCUGUAGAAUUUAACGUUACGUACUGAUUCUUCAGAACGGCAAGAGCACUGGACACUCUGAUUACAAUCCUGCAGACGGUUGACUUGUGGAGUCCAAAAAGGUCCCCAUCCACCAUCUGGAAACAUCCAGGUGUGUAGAACCAUAUGGCCACCAGGAGGUACAGCCGUGUUCCUAUCACUCCCAUGCUUAAUGGUUGGUUCAACCUUUCUUUCCAGUUGCAUUACCGCUUCUCCAAGGACUCUGUAUCUCCUUUAAAACGUAUCAUUAUCAUAAAAUUCAACAGGAUUCAACCGGUCUCUAAUUAUUCUCUGAGGAACUCUGUCGUUUGGGUCUCUCCACAGUAGAUAUGCUGCCAUUUUAUCAGUUCAACCACCUCAAGUGGCAGUUUAGAAUUCAUCUCCAAUCUAAAUGUAUUUUUUUAAAUCUUUUUUAUUGAGCAACAGGCUUAACAUUAAUCUGGGUUUAAAGUGAAAACUAAAUGUAGACUAGAGGAAGGAUUUAACUGAACUAGGAUUAAUUUAGAACCAGGUUUAAAAUUUGGUGCAACAAGAUUAAUAGACAAACCUUGAUUUAACCCAGUUUAAGAGUUAGUCCAUGUUGGUGCAACCCACCCUUAAUGUCAAGCUAAAUGUAAUAAAAAUAUAUAAUUUCAGAGGUUUAAAAAGGAACAGAAAAUAAUAUAUUUGAAUAAACAAAUACUGUUAAUACAAGUGGUUGUUUUGGUUGUUUAUUAAAAAAAUGAAUAUUAAGACAAUGAAAAUAUAAUUUUCAAAUAGCAAUACAUGUUGGAAUUUGAUCCAGCUCUGCAUAUAACUAACAAUAAUGUGUUGUUAGAGGUUGACUUCACAGCUCUUUAGUUUUAAUAAAGUGACUGAUUAAUAGGAGUUCUGUACUACUAGGUGAAACUAUAGGUGUCAAUAGGAGUUGUAUACUGCUAGGUGAAACUAUAGGUGAACGUGUGAAUGUUGUUGUGCCAUUGUGCUGUGUCUCCACAGGCUUAGGGCCACCAUCGCCACUACAACCGCCAUCAUGUCUGUUCCUACCCAGGCUGAGGCACUUAGUUUGAUUUCUUCAAGGAUUCCGACUCAACGCAACUGCACCAUUGAGACUGUGAAUAAUUGUAGUUCCCACAUUCUUCUCAACCCAAAGGUCUACAUGAUCAGUGGCUACAACUUAAGUCCCUUGGCGCCUACUGUGGGAUCCUCAGAGAGAGACAUCAGCACGUUCACCAAGACCUAUGGCAAAGCAAGGGGAGCUGUUGGUGUUUUCACCUAUGAGCUGUUCAAUCCCUCCAAGAAGCACACUGAGAUAAUGGCUGUCAUGUUCUCUGUGCCCUUUGACUAUAACUUGUACUCAAACUGGUUUGCAGUGGGAAUCUUCGACAACUGCAAAAUAUGUGAUAAAACUCUUUAUGAUGAGAUGUAUAAUAGUACGGAGAGAAAAUUUGUCAGGGGUGAAGCAGAUGGCUCCAGUAUCACUUAUAAAGGUAAUGAUGUGACCAUCAUGGCCUCCAUGUCAAACAGUGGUAGUGCAGUCAUGAAGGUGGAGGUGUGUGACAGUUGACAGCAUAGUCAUUACUAACCUUAAAACACUGAUGGUGUCCAACUUUAUGACUCAUAUGUGAAGAUCUGAAGUGUAAUUAGCAAUUUCAAUGUGAUGCUUCCAGAAUAACUUAAACUCCAAUCAAUAAAUGGCAAACUAAACUGAGAUUGGGUUUGGUUCUGAAUUUAUGAAAAGUCAAACGUUGUAAUGAACUAUUGAAAUGUAUGUUUUUAUUGCCACACCGAAGCUGA